UACAGAGGGGGCAAGCGUUGUUCGGAAUUAUUGGGCGUAAAGGGCGCGUAGGCGGUGCUGUAAGUCUGUAGUGAAAUCUCUGGGCUCAACUCAGAGUCUGCUAUAGAAACUGCAGUGCUGGAGUGUGGGAGAGGUGAGUGGAAUUCCCGGUGUAGCGGUGAAAUGCGUAGAUAUCAGGAGGAACACCUGUGGUGUAGACAGCUUACUGGACCACUUCUGACGCUGAGACACGAAAGCGUGGGUAGCAAACAGG
rnacentral:rRNA from 1 species